GACGAACGCUGGCGGCGUACCUAACACAUGCAAGUCGAGCGAUGAAGCCCUUCGGGGUGGAUUAGCGGCGGACGGGUGAGUAACACGUGGGUAACCUGCCUCAAAGAGGGGGAUAGCCUCCCGAAAGGGAGAUUAAUACCGCAUAAUAUUAGUUUUUCGCAUGAAGAACUAAUUAAAGGAGCAAUCCGCUUUGAGAUGGACCCGCGGCGCAUUAGCUAGUUGGUGAGGUAAAGGCUCACCAAGGCGACGAUGCGUAGCCGACCUGAGAGGGUGAUCGGCCACAUUGGAACUGAGACACGGUCCAGACUCCUACGGGAGGCAGCAGUGGGGAAUAUUGCACAAUGGGCGAAAGCCUGAUGCAGCAACGCCGCGUGAGUGAUGAAGGCCUUCGGGUUGUAAAGCUCUGUCUUUUGGGACGAUAAUGACGGUACCAAAGGAGGAAGCCACGGCUAACUACGUGCCAGCCGCCGCGGUAACAC
rnacentral:rRNA from 1 species